rnacentral:lncRNA from 1 species
AUGGGAGAAAAUGGUGAUGAUUAAAAAAAUAAGGCUGCGCUUAAGGCCAAAAUCUGUCAUCAAAUUGAGUAUAAUUUUGGAGACUUCAGUUUUCCAUGGGACACAUUCUUAAAGAAACAGAUCAAACUCGAUGAAGGCUGGGUACCUUUGGAGAUGAGAUAAUUCAACAGGUUGAACCACCUAACAACAGUCUUCAAUGUAAUUGUAGAAGCAUUGAGCAAAUCCAAGGCAGAACUCAUGGAAAUCAGUGAAGAUAAAACUGAAAUCAGAAGGUGUUACAGCAAUCCCUUCAGUGAAGUGACUGAUGAGUAUAAAAGUGAUGUAAAAAAACAGAUCUGUUUGAAAAAGAAGUAUUGAAAAAAAUUAUAGAAGACCAACAAGAAUCCCUAAACAAAUGGAGUUCAAAAGGUCGCAGACUUAAAGGAAAAGGAAAGCAUAACAAAGCUGCACAGCCUGGAUCUGCUAAAAGAAAAUUACACUUUCUGAGCAAGUAAAGGAAAUUUGCUAGCAAUAAUGAAAAUGGUGCAACUGGACCUAUGAAAAGAGCAAGGGAAGAAACAGACAAAGAAACAGAAAAAAGAAAAUGGUGAUGGAGACC